rnacentral:rRNA from 1 species
GACGAACCGUGCGAACGUUAUUCGGAAUCACUGGGCUUAAAGCGCGCGUAGGCGGGCCGGCACGUCGGUUGCUGAAAGCCCCCGGCUCAACCGGGGAACGGGCAGCGAUACGACCGGCCUGGAGGGGGGUAGGGGGCGCCGGAACUGCCGGUGGAGCGGUGAAAUGCGUUGAGAUCGGCAGGAACGCCCGUGGCGAAAGCGGGCGCCUGGACCCCGCCUGACGCUGAGGCGCGAAAGCCAGGGGAGCGAACGGG